UACAGAGGGGGCAAGCGUUGUUCGGAAUUACUGGGCGUAAAGGGCGCGUAGGCGGCCUGUUAAGUCGAACGUGAAAUCCCCGGGCUCAACCCGGGAACUGCGUCCGAAACUGGCAGGCUUGAAUCCGGGAGAGGGAUGUGGAAUUCCAGGUGUAGCGGUGAAAUGCGUAGAUAUCUGGAGGAACAUCGGUGGCGAAGGCGACAUCCUGGACCGGUAUUGACGCUGAGGCGCGAAAGCGUGGGGAGCAAACAGG
rnacentral:rRNA from 1 species